ACCGUUCAGGGGUAAACCUGAGAAACCCGAAAGAUCGAACGGGGAGAUUCAUCGUCAGCGGCGCUGGCUUCCGUGCGGCGUGCGAUGUCGGCGACCGUGUUCCCUCGCAGGUUCGCGGCUACUCGUCGGCACGCCGUCGCUGCGUGAUGCCCGGUGACGCCGGCGUGCACUUCUCCCCAAGUAGGACGUCGCGACCCGUUGGGUGUCGAUCUACGGGCCGCGUAGGCGACUGUCCCGUCGCGCGCGUUUUCGGACGCGCGUGCGUUGGCAGACGCGCGGAUCUCCCGACCGACUGCCCGACGGUAGCAUAAUGGUAUCGAGCCGCAGCUCGUAAGUGCGUUCUCGGCCCGUCGCAAGCUCGUUCACGCUUCUCACGGAGCUACGGACCCAGUGCCGUACCCGUGGCUGGACAGCUGUUGGCUGGCGGUGUUCUCGAACCGGCUCGUCCGUCAUUUUGUCGAACGUCUCGCACGUGCGGAUACCAGUCGGCGACGCUACUGCUUCGGGUACUUUCAGGACCCGUCUUGAAACACGGACCAAGGAGUCUAACAUGUACGCGAGUCAUUGGGACAUGUCGCAUGAAACCUAAAGGCGUAUUGAAAGAGAAGGUCGGCCUCGCGUCGACCGAGGGAGGAUGGGUCGCGUUGCGAUGCGGCCUCGCACUCCCGGGGCGUCUCGAGCUCAUUGCGAGCUGAGGCGCACCCAGAGCGUACACGUUGGGACCCGAAAGAUGGUGAACUAUGCCUGGUCAGGACGAAGUCAGGGGAAACCCUGAUGGAGGUCCGUAGCGAUUUGUGACGUGCAAAUCGAUCGUAGGAAGCUG
rnacentral:rRNA from 1 species